rnacentral:rRNA from 1 species
AGAGUUUGAUCCUGGCUCAGAAUGAACGCUGGCGGCGUGCUUAACACAUGCAAGUCGAACGAGAACGUCUUAGCUUGCUAAGACUAGUAAAGUGGCGCACGGGUGAGUAACGCGUGGGUAAUCUACCCUUGAAUUCGGAAUAACAUUGCGAAAGCGAUGCUAAUACCGGAUAAUAUCUUUAAAUUUUCGAAUUUUUAGAUCAAAGGGGGUCUCUACAUGUAAGCUUCCGUUUAGGGAUGAGCCCGCGUACCAUUAGCUUGUUGGUAGGGUAAUGGCCUACCAAGGCAACGAUGGUUAGCUGGUCUGAGAGGAUGAUCAGCCACACUGGAACUGACACACGGUCCAGACUCCUACGGGAGGCAGCAGUGAGGAAUUUUGCGCAAUGGGGGAAACCCUGACGCAGCAACGCCGCGUGAGUGAUGAAGGCUUUCGGGUCGUAAAGCUCUGUCAAGUGGGAAGAACCGGAAAAAUAUUAAAAUAUUUUUCUCUGACGGUACCACUGAAGGAAGCACCGGCUAACUCCGUGCCAGCAGCCGCGGUAAUACGGGGGGUGCAAGCGUUAUUCGGAAUUAUUGGGCGUAAAGGGCGCGUAGGCGGUCUCUUAAGUCAGAUGUGAAAGCCCGGGGCUUAACCCCGGAAGUGCAUUUGAAACUAAGGAACUUGAGUAUGGGAGAGGGAAGUGGAAUUCCUGGUGUAGCGGUGAAAUGCGUAGAUAUCAGGAGGAACACCGGUGGCGAAGGCGACUUCCUGGACCAAUACUGACGCUGAGGCGCGAAGGCGUGGGGAGCAAACAGGAUUAGAUACCCUGGUAGUCCACGCAGUAAACGGUGAACACUAGGUGUAGCGGGUAUUGACCCCUGCUGUGCCGCAGCUAACGCAUUAAGUGUUCCGCCUGGGGAGUACGAUCGCAAGGUUAAAACUCAAAGGAAUUGACGGGGGCCCGCACAAGCGGUGGAGCAUGUGGUUUAAUUCGACGCAACGCGAAGAACCUUACCUGGAUUUGACAUCCCGGGAAUUCUAUCGAAAGACUGAAGUGCCCUUCGGGGAACCCGGUGACAGGUGCUGCAUGGCUGUCGUCAGCUCGUGUCGUGAGAUGUUGGGUUAAGUCCCGCAACGAGCGCAACCCUUAUCUUUAGUUCCAUCAUUUAGUGGGGACUCUAAAGACACUGCCCCGGUUAACGGGAGAAGGGGGGAUGACGUCAGUCCUCAUGGCCUUUUGUCAGGCUACCACGUGCUAAAUGACUGUACAAGGUCGCGACCCCAGGUGACCAUCCAAAGCGUCUAUCGAUGAUCUGCAUCACUCCUGAGCUGAACGCUGAAUCCGACACAGCGCGGUGAUCGUUCCGGCUGACACGCGUCAACAUGAAUGGUUGUACAAUGUGGCACAUAGGCAACAUAGUGAUGAUGAUAGGUGAUCUACAGUACGAUACUAUAGUAUAGGCGCGCCGUACAAUAGGAGCAUCACGCC